AAGUCGUAACAAGGUUUCCGUAGGUGAACCUGCGGAAGGAUCAUUAUUUGAUCUAAAUCGGAGGUAUUUGCAAAAAUAUCGCCUUUUUGCUUUGUGAACUGUAUUGUACUGUUGUAUUUUUUUUUUAAAAAAGUUGUUGUUUUCUUCGGAAAGCAGAAAUUUAAAGACAACUUUCAGCAAUGGAUCUCUUGGCUCUU
rnacentral:misc_RNA from 1 species